GAGUUGAGUGUACAGAUGGUUUCUGUAGUAGAUCUGCAAAAUCUAUAAUUUUAGGGUUCAAUUCCCUCUUAACUUU
rnacentral:tRNA from 1 species